rnacentral:rRNA from 1 species
AGUGAACGCUGGCGGUAGGCCUAACACAUGCAAGUCGAACGGCAGCACAGUAAGAGCUUGCUCUUACGGGUGGCGAGUGGCGGACGGGUGAGGAAUACAUCGGAAUCUACUUUUUCGUGGGGGAUAACGUAGGGAAACUUACGCUAAUACCGCAUACGACCUACGGGUGAAAGCAGGGGAUCUUCGGACCUUGCGCGAUUGAAUGAGCCGAUGUCGGAUUAGCUAGUUGGCGGGGUAAAGGCCCACCAAGGCGACGAUCCGUAGCUGGUCUGAGAGGAUGAUCAGCGAAACUGGAAGUGAGACACGGUCCAGACACCUACGGGAGGCAGCAGUGGGGAAUAUUGGACAAUGGGCGAAAGCAUGAUCCAGCAAUACCGCGUGGGUGAAGAAGGAGUUAGGGUUGUAAAGCCCUUUUGUUGGGAAAGAAAAGAAGCAGGUUAAAACCCCGCUGUUCUGACGGUACCCAAAGAAUAAGGACCGGCUAACUUCGUG